rnacentral:rRNA from 1 species
GAUUAAGCAUCGGCUAACUCCGUGCCAGCAGCCGCGGUAAGACGGAGGAUGCAAGUGUUAUCCGGAAUCACUGGGCGUAAAGCGUCUGUAGGUGGUUUAGUAAGUCAACUGUUAAAUCUUGAAGCUUAACUUCAAAAUCGCAGUCGAAACUGCUAGACUAGAGUAUAGUAGGGGUAAAAGGAAUUUCCAGUGGAGCGGUGAAAUGCGUAGAGAUUGGAAAGAACACCGAUGGCGAAGGCAUUUUACUGGGCUAUUACUGACACUCAGAGACGAAAGCUAGGGUAGCAAAUGGGAUUAGAUACCCCAGNUAGUC